rnacentral:rRNA from 1 species
UGAGACGACGCUGGCGGCGUGCCUAACACAUGCAAGUCGAACGAAGCUCCGAACCUUGAGAUUCGUCGAUAGGUGAGGAUGACUUAGUGGCGGACGGGUGAGUAAUGCGUGAGCAACCUGCCCUUUGGAGGGGGACAACAGCUGGAAACGGCUGCUAAUACCGCAUAAAGUAUCUGGGAGGCAUCUUCCGGAUACCAAAGAUUUUAUCGCCGAAGGAUGGGCUCACGUCUGAUUAGCUAGUUGGUGGGGUAACGGCCCACCAAGGCUGCGAUCAGUAGCCGGACUGAGAGGUUGAACGGCCACAUUGGGACUGAGAUACGGCCCAGACUCCUACGGGAGGCAGCAGUGGGGAAUAUUGGGCAAUGGGGGCAACCCUGACCCAGCAACGCCGCGUGAAGGAAGAAGGCCUUCGGGUUGUAAACUUCUUUUAUGAGGGACGAAAGAGAUGACGGUACCUCAUGAAUAAGCUACGGCUAACUACGUG